GAUGAACGCUGGCGGCGUGCCUAAUACAUGCAAGUCGAGCGAACGGACGAGAAGCUUGCUUUUCUGAUGUUAGCGGCGGACGGGUGAGUAACACGUGGAUAACCUACCUUUAAGACUGGGAUAACUUCGGGAAACCGGAGCUAAUACCGGAUAAUAUUUUGUACCGCAUGGUUCAACAUUGAAAGACGGUCUUGCUUUCACUUAUAGAUGGAUCCGCGCUGCAUUAGCUAGUUGGUAAGGUAACGGCUUACCAAGGCAACGAUGCAUAGCCGACCUGAGAGGGUGAUCGGCCACACUGGAACUGAGACACGGUCCAGACUCCUACGGGAGGCAGCAGUAGGGAAUCUUCCGCAAUGGGCGAAAGCCUGACGGAGCAACGCCGCGUGAGUGAUGAAGGUCUUCGGAUCGUAAAACUCUGUUAUUAGGGAAGAACAUAUGUGUAAGUAACUGUGCACAUCUUGACGGUACCUAAUCAGAAAGCCACGGCUAACUACGUG
rnacentral:rRNA from 1 species